CACACCAGGCACUGUGUCUGCUAUGUUUUCUCUAUAUCAGAGCCUGGCUUGGUGCCCACCAUAUUGCAGAAACUCACGAUAUAUUUGUUGAAUAGAGAAAUAAAUGAAAAUCUGAGAUGAGUGAUCACUGUGCGGGGGGAGCUCUCAUAUGAACUUGAAAGGUCAGGAACCGAGAAUAUGUAUGUUGUUUAUGCUUGGGUGGCAGCAUAAGGGAGAAGGUGUGAGAGCCCCACGUCCAGGACCCUCCUAUGCAUCUCUGCCAUCUUGCUGAGCCUCAGUGACGUCCUUAAUAAUAAAACUGCCACGGAUCGAUUUCUAGACGUGCCGUUCAAGGAAAUGCACAUUUUAAAGUUCUGGAGGCCAGACGUCCAAAGUCAAGGAGUCAGCAAGGCCAUGCCCUCUGAAGGGAGGAUCCUCCUGCCUCUUCCAGCUUCUGGGGGCUCCAGGUAAGACCAACUAGAGGAAGCCAAAUGUGCACGCUGACGAAUCACACAGGACAUCCUGCUUCUAGCCAGCCCGCCUCCAGCCUCUCCAGGACCACACCCUCCAUCAGGGCAUGUCUGAACCUCCCCUUUUUCCAUGAUGAAGCUCCCCUACUCCUCCACCUGCCUUUGAGUCUCUGCCAAAACACAGGUGACAGUGGCCGACUCCUCACUAUAGCCAGCUCUGAGUAAAUAGCCUGUGCCUUUACCUUCCCAGAACAGUCUUGCUUUCCCAUCUUCUGCUCCAUUGCCAGGCUAUGCGUCAAAUACGCCUGUUUCAGGAAAUAUGCAACAACGGUACAGCUCUCUCACCUGGCUCAAAGGUGUUUAAAAUCCUCGUCUAUGAGGCUGUGCUCAAGUCAUUGGCUAAUAGCAGUGUGAAAAUUAACACCGACUUAAUUUAACGGAUUUCACAGCAUCCUUGGAGAGAAGGUAUGAUUAAUCCCGAUCUUAUAGAUAAAGAGCUGGAAAUGCAAACGAUUUAAAGGAUGCUCUUCAGGACACUGGACGGGUCGUUAAGACAGCCGGGGCUGGAACUGGCACCUGUGACAUCUACGCUGGACCUGCCAGGCUUCCGUGUUGCCUUCUUACUCAGCUGCCUUUUGAAUUUCAGUCUGCUGCCUCUGAUCAAGAAGAUAGCAGCAUGAAUUGCUGAUUCUUGUCACCAACAGAACUUACACUGACUUCUUUAUAAUGAUGAAGCGUUAAGAUCCCGGCCCCGGAAGCAAGCUUCCAUGGAGAGGGGCCUUCCACGUUCUUCUCCUGUCAAGGUCAUGCACAGUGAACAGUGCAGAUGAUGGAGACAUCGCAUCUUUCUACUUCAGUUUCUUAGGUGGCUUCCAGAAUUUAUGAAAAGACAAUACUCUUGAGAUUCAAGGCCAUUGAUUUGCAAGAAUUAGCCCUUCUGAAAGAGAAAAAGGUGUUCAAAAUUCAAUGACUUGUCGUUGACUAUCAAAAGCUAAAUAAGUUCCAAUGUAUAGAUUUAUACUGUUUAUGCUAUAAAAAAACAGAUUUGGGGGAAAUGGAGAAAGGGCCAGACCAUCUUGUCACCCUGCUGUCACAAAGUCAGUGCUGUGUGGAGGUGCAGGCUGGGGGACUGGAGAGGAAAGGAGCAGAAAGAGAGGUCUGUGGUUCAGGGAACAAUGGGCUGGGUCAGGGGAACAUGGGGAGAACAGAUCAGUCAGUCCAGUCCAGCGAGUUCUGUCCAGGUCCCUGGGAGCCAGGUGUUGGAUGAACCAGUCCACGCAGACUCUCCUGUCAACGUUUGAGUGACCCCACAUAUAGGCACUGCUGGGAGUCAUGAUCCUUGCCCUUCUAUUGGUCAUCCUUUGAAGUCACCUGAAGGUGUAGGAAGAGGUCAGUCUGAACCCUGUGAUUUGCUUAGCCCAUCUGCAUUGCCUUGCAUGUUCAGCCUCCCUUUUUGAUGGCCCAGGAUGCUCACAAGCACCUCCAUCCCCCAAAUGCAAGGUGGAGGCCAGCGGAUGGUGGCUCUAGGGACGGCAGAGCCCCUUGCCUCAUCCUCACAUGGAGCCAGCCUCUCACCAGCCACCUCCCCGUCAUGUGGUCCUUCCCAGCAAUUCCAGAGGUACUCACUCCCUGUAUAUACCAGAGCCACUUUGCCCAGUCCCUCCUCUUCCCCAGUGGCUAUCAGAGUGAACACCUUUCCAAGGCGGGGAGGUGGGAGUUGGGGCGUGGGGACCUGGAACGCAGGUGAAGGGCUCUAUAAUCUGCAGAGUGCCUUCCGGGCUUCCCCUCACACCUCCCAACCAUUUCGCGUUGCCCCACUCAUCGGUCUCUGCCUUUCACAACAUCUUCAGAUCCUCAGGCCUGCCUACCUUACCCUCCUCCCACUCUUUUUUCUAUAAUUUUGCUCAGAAACAUCAAGAACAUUUCCUGUUCUCUCUCUUUCUUAACUCUAUUGGUGAGCCAAAAUCGAAAGCAAAAUCAAAAAACCAACAUGGACAAGACAAGCAAACCCAUUGUCACCCUUUGCUAAGAAGGGUGUCCAGCAGGCUAGUUGUCACCCUGUGUUGGGGUGACCUGAGCUUUUCCCGAGGUGGAACUGGAGGUGAAAUGAACAGGUAGCACCCACUGCUGGGGUCUUGGGGGUGCCCGAGCAACUCCUGCAGACUCUCUACCUCCUUCUCUCCCCUCCCCCUCCUCAAAGCAGGCUCUCUUCAAUGAAAAUUCAGGAGACCUAAUAACACAGCCUUUUUGUAUGUUACUGUUUUGAUGUUUUAGUAUUACUACUGGAACUAUAUUCUUUACUGUUUUUUUCAUUGCAAAGUUGCCGUAUCUCAAAACGUUUCCAAUUAGACUCCAAGAGGGCUGACCUGGAGAUUCUGCCCUGUUGUGGUGCUGCUCUGGCGUAAUGCACCCCAGAUCCAGACAAUUGGUGCCCAGUGGUGCUUUGGGAAAGAAUCUGAUUGAAAACUGGUUGGGAGCCGAUUGUAAUUCCAUGCUUUUACAAGCAAUAACCUUUCAAGAAGAAUUUUCAAGAGAAAAUUAAUCCACCAUUUUAUUAACUCAAGGAAAAUAUACCUGAGUAUCCCCGGAGUGGGAGUAGAUAUCGACAUAUACUGUUUUAAAAUAUUCUGACAUUUUGCUGCAUAGCAGGGGUCUGUCCCGCUGACAGUCGACAUGCCCCAAUGAAAGCCAGAAAUUCCUUCCUUUCCUUUCAUUGUCUCAGCUCUGGUGCAGGUACAUUGCUGGGCACAUAAUUACUAAAACAGCUGCAUCUGCUCUGGGUUUGCUUGUCGAUCACUUAUUUUUGGACAAUUAGGUUUAGCACAAGUCAUUGAGAAUGGCAUACAAGGAUGACUAUGAGGGAGUUAUCUAAUUCUCAAGUAUUGAAGGUGUCAGAGUCAGACACCUCUGAGCCACCUCUGCCCUCCCCUCCCAGCUCCAUCCUUAGUGGAGCCCAGCAUGGCCUCCGAUCUCUCUCAUGCCCAGAGUCCAGGAUCCUCACCUCUUCUCUACUUGGCAGAGAAGGUCAGAGAUAUUUCUGUCCCCACGACACCCUAUUCAGAGGGAGUAACCGCUAAGAAACUGCAGUGGGUUGAAAGGUGGCCUCGCAAGUGUUAUGUCCAUGCCCGAAUCUCUGGAAUCCGCUGAAUGUGCCCUUAUUUGGAAAAGGGGUCUUUGCAGAUGUAACUAAGUUAAGACUCUUGAGAUGAUUUAUCCGGUUAUCUGGAUCGGUCCUAUAUCCAAUGACAAAUAUGCUUAUAAGAGACACGGAGGAGAAUGUGUUUGCGCACAGGCCGAGGAACACUGAGGAAUGCCAGCAGCCACCAGACACUUGAAGAAGCAGAAAUAGAUUCUUCCCCAGGGAGCACGGCCCUCCCAACACCUUGAUUUUGGACUUUGGGGCUCCAGAACUGUGAGGGAAUAGAUUUCUAUUGUUUUAAGCCAUGAAGUUUGUGGUAAUUUGUUAUGGCAGCCUAGAAAAUGAAUUUAAGAACCCUUUCAAAAUGGUGACUUCACAGAGGAUUUUUAGGGCAGUGAAAUUAUUCUGCAUGAUAUUGUAAUGGUGGAUACAAAUCAUUAUACGUUUGUCAAAAGCCAAAGAAUGUGCAACAUCAAGAGUGAACCCUAAGCAAACCUUAGACUUUGGGUGAUAAUGAUGCAUCAACGUAGAUUCACCGAUUGUAGCAAAUGUACCCCUCUAGCGGGGAAUGUUGAUAACGGAAGAGGCUGUGUGUCGAGGAGGGCACGGGGGUAAAUGAGAACUCUCUGUACUUUCUGUUCAAUUUUACUGUAAGCCUCAAAC